rnacentral:rRNA from 1 species
UACGUAGGCAGCGAGCGUUGUUCGGAGUUACUGGGCGUAAAGGGUGUGUAGGCGGUUCUCUAAGUUUGGUGUGAAAUCUCCCGGCUCAACCGGGAGGGUGCGCCGAAAACUGGAGGGCUAGAGUGCGGGAAGGGAGAGUAGAAUUCCUGGUGUAGCGGUGAAAUGCGUAGAUAUCAGGAGGAAUACCGGUGGUGUAGACGGCGUCUCUGGACCGCGACUGACGCUGAGACACGAAAGCGUGGGUAGCAAACAGG